UAAAAGGGAGUAGAAAAUCUGCUAGAGAAAGUAAUAACUGAGGGCUGGAGAGAUGGCUCAGCCGUUAAAGGCUAGGCUCACAACCAAAAAUAUA
rnacentral:miRNA from 1 species